CACCAACAACAAGCCCCCUUGCAGCGCUCCCUCCUUUCCCAAAGAUAGCCUUGAAAUCGCAAUUUUACCGGCCUCUUUAGUGCCUGGGCGUUCUGUGAUUUAGAUGUCUAGUGUCAGGGGGGGAUUGGUUCACCACUAGUAAGUCCAUCGCACCAAUUCCUCACGCGACAUGAACGGACUGAUCUGGGUGAGAAAUCGUCAUUUGUCUGUAGCAACAUUUGAAUUCGAGAGUUCCUACUCCGUAGAUAGGCUUCUGUUUUUCCAGCCUCGCCCAUGCUCUGCAAAGUUCUCUCUAGAUGGGGUUACAUACUACGCAUUGCAGCACAGUAUGUAUUGAACCUGAGGUAGGCGGCUCCGUCGCUUCGCUGAAACAACGAAAGGAUGCUUGAGUUGCCGAUCCGUCGGAAAUAAUGCAGACCAGAGUUUGGGCAAUCAACAGGACUAACAGCCAAUGAGCACAUACAGUACAGAGGCGUAAAAGGAUCCCCAAGGCGUCCAUCGCUUGCAGAAAAUAAUACAGAAACAUUCAAAUAUCCAUCAGAUUGAU
rnacentral:sRNA from 2 species